UUUAUCAAAAACAUCUUAUAUCUGUUAAAAUUGAAAGAUCGAAAUAACGAGAAUUGUAUUACUUUUAGUUUCGUAAGAUUUUUUUGUCUUUCUUUCUAUAAGUUCUAUAGUUACCGGUAAAAACAGUAUUUAUAAUUUCUGGCAGCCAUAUUUGAUUUAGUCAUAGAAUCCAACAUGGGCGUUCCUUUUUGUCGUCUGCAAAGUGUCAAAUGCUUUGUGUUUUUUAAAGAUGGACAGGAUUAGUGAUACGUUAUAAUUAAAAAUAAUUAGUACAAAAGUUUUAAAGAAAGAUCUGAAUUAAUGAACAUUGUUUAAUAUUUUUCUGUGAUUACGUUAUUUUUAUCGACGAAAAACGUACAUUUCUUAUGUACAAUAGUCAUCCGUAAUAUGAUAUACAUAUACAAGGAGAUUUGAGCUGGUAUAUAUCAAAGGUUUCUGUGAUUCAAUAAUUAAUUAUUAUAAAAGAAAUUAUCGUAAUUGUAUUGUAAUAAAUAUAUGUAUUAAAGGAAGAUAUUUGAAAGGAAGAUAGUGCGUGUAAAAAGCAUCGAGAGAAGGUUAUGCUUGUCGUCAAGUGAAAAUUAUAUAUGUGUGAGUGUGCGUGCUACUAUGCUAUUUAUUCGUUUUUAAAUGAAUGAGGAACGGACACCAAAUUACAAAUAAUAUUAUGUCGUCGAAAUAAGAUAAUUACUAUUUUAAAUCAUCGUACCUGGAUAUUCGAAUUAGUUGAUUUUCUUUAUAUAAAAAAAGAAAAAAAAAUAUUGAAGAAAUAAUCUCAUUGUAUUGAAAAUUAUAUGACAUUUCAAAAAGAUCUACUCUUUUAUAAGAAAAGGACGAAGAGGCUGAAACAGAAAAAAAAUUUGUAUUAUUGUAUCUCAUAAGUUGAUUCAAAGAUAUAUAUAAAAUGUCUGGAAACAAUACAAUGACAGCUGAUACACUCAGAAGUGGGAACAUACAUAAUCGUAAUUCACAAAGAUCUACACUUUUAAAAGUAGUGAUUUUGGGUGACGGCGGAGUUGGAAAAUCUUGUCUUAUGAACAGAUUUGUAUCGAAUCGUUUUGAUGAAUAUAAUUUUUACACUAUCGGAGUAGAAUUUUUAAACAAGGAUAUAGAAAUCAAUGGCGAAUCUUAUACUUUACAAAUAUGGGAUACUGCAGGGCAGGAACGAUUUAAAACAUUAAGAACUCCAUUUUAUAGAGGUUCAGAUAUUUGUCUUUUGACUUAUGCCGUUGAUGAUAGAACAAGUUUUAAAAAUUUGGCUCUCUGGAGAUCAGAAUUUCUUUAUUAUGCGGAUGUCGAAGAAGCAUCUACUUUUCCAUUUAUAGUUGUGGGAAAUAAGGUGGAUGUUUUGGAAUCUGAAAAACAAGUAACCACAGAAGAAGCCAGAGCAUGGUGUGCAGAAAAUGGAGAUCCACCAUUGGUCGAAACGUCUGCAAAGGAUGCAACAAAUGUAGAAGCAGCAUUUGCAGCUGCUGUUGCUGCAUGGGCACGACUGGAGGCUAGAUUAGAACAUCCGUUAGUAGAAGAUACUGUCGACCUUUCUAAACAGCUGUCUCCGCAACGUUCCAGUUGCUGUAUGCCUGUCUCUGGUGCUGAAUCUACAUUUGUGACCAGCUAACUGAAAUGGGUGGUAUGAAGAUAGACAUGAUAAGAAAUAUUUAUGAUACGAAUCAACAUUUUUGGAAGGAACACUUAGAGUUUGUUUGCAUUUGGAAGGAACAUAAUGCGUCUCAAAUUGAACUAAUCCCUAAAAUGGUGUUUACUAUAUUUAGGAUGUAUAAGGACAUUGUACCAAAAGAUGUAAGAGAUUUUUAUUUUCCUUGAUUUCACCAACUGACAGUCCAUUUUCUUUUGUGAAUUUUUCUCCACGAAACAAAAUCAUUUUGUAACUUUAUUCGAUUAAAAUGAGACUAUUAUUAAUUUUUGAUUAGGUCUAACAAAAUAAUUUGAAGAGAAUCUUGCCAGCCUUCAAUACUCGGUUAAUUACAAGCCCAAAGUUUCUAUAAAGACAUUAGAAAUAAUUUCAAGUACAUCCAUCAAAAUAUUUCAAUAUAAUGUUUCUUGUGUGUUAUAUGAAAUAUGUUAGAUAUUCUCAAGAAAGAUAUUUAUGUUACUAAAGUUUUGCACAAAUCUUACUUAACAGGACUGUUAGUUAAUUUGCUAUUCUUCUAGUAUGUGCUCUGUAUAUCUAUCUUCGAAUACCUUACAUAAAUUGUAAAAAUUCACAUGUAAGAUAUGUACCACUGGAACAUUGAAAAAAGAAAAAAAGAAAAAAAACAAAAAAAAAGAAAAAAGGAUGAUUUAUAAUAUUU